rnacentral:rRNA from 1 species
UACGGGGGGGGGCAAGCGUUGUUCGGAAUUACUGGGCGUAAAGGGCGCGUAGGCGGCCUGCUAAGUCGGACGUGAAAUCCCUCGGCUUAACCGGGGAACUGCGUCUGAUACUGGAUGGCUUGAGAUUGGGAGAGGGGAUGCGGAAUUCCAGGUGUAGCGGUGGAAUGCGCAGAUAUCAGGAGGAACACCGGUGGCGAAGGCGGAUCUCUGGGCCGUAACUGACGCUGAGGAGCGAAAGCAUGGGGAGCGAACAGG